rnacentral:rRNA from 1 species
AUUGAACGCUGGCGGCAGGCCUAACACAUGCAAGUCGAGCGGAUGAAGGGAGCUUGCUCCUGGAUUCAGCGGCGGACGGGUGAGUAAUGCCUAGGAAUCUGCCUGGUAGUGGGGGAUAACGUCCGGAAACGGGCGCUAAUACCGCAUACGUCCUGAGGGAGAAAGUGGGGGAUCUUCGGACCUCACGCUAUCAGAUGAGCCUAGGUCGGAUUAGCUAGUUGGUGGGGUAAAGGCCUACCAAGGCGACGAUCCGUAACUGGUCUGAGAGGAUGAUCAGUCACACUGGAACUGAGACACGGUCCAGACUCCUACGGGGGGCAGCAGUGGGGAAUAUUGGACAAUGGGCGAAAGCCUGAUCCAGCCAUGCCGCGUGUGUGAAGAAGGUCUUCGGAUUGUAAAGCACUUUAAGUUGGGAGGAAGGGCAGUAAGUUAAUCCCUUGCUGUUUUGACGUUACCAACAGAAUAAGCACCGGCUAACUUCGUG